GGAGAUGUAGCUCAGCGGUAGAGCGUUCGCUUUGUAAGCGAUAGACCUGAGUUCGAUCCUCAGCAUCUUCA